rfam:Streptacidiphilus jiangxiensis strain CGMCC 4.1857 genome assembly, contig: Ga0104467_103
GCAGGUGUAGCUCAGUAGCAGAGCGUCCCUCUUCCAGGGGGAAGGCACAGUGUGCGAUCCCUGUCACCUGCU